rnacentral:rRNA from 1 species
UACGUAGGGGGCGAGCGUUGUCCGGAGUUACUGGGUGUAAAGCGCACGCAGGCGGUCUGCUAAGUUUGGAGUGACAGUUGGUGGCUUAACUGCCAAAGUGCUUCGAAAACUGACAGACUUGAGGGCUUCAGAGGGACACGGAAUUCCGGGUGGAGUGGUGAAAUGCGUAGAGAUCCGGAGGAACACCAAAGGCGAAGGCAGUGUCCUGGGGAGUACCUGACGCUCAGGUGCGAAAGCCAGGGGAGCGAACAGG